GCAAAUAUAAUACAUGCAUUGAAACCGAACAGUCAACAGAAAACACAUCAGAUACAUGUGAUAAAACCACUUUCAGAUGAAACAAAGGCUGCUUUACAAUCACUUUGGUGUAAUCCUAUACCCAAAAGAAAUAAAAUGUAAGGAGCAGUGCCAUGUGAGAUGCCGGAAAUCAAGCAGGUCUCGUUUCAUCUGAAUGUGCACAAAGAACAGAUUUAUUAGGAGCAUGAACAAUGCAUAUCACCAUGUGAGGGAUCCAUCAGGAGAAGCAAAUAGGUAGCCUAAUGGAUCAGUGCUCACCGAGAUUGUUCGAUCACUGAAUCUGGAAGCCAUCACUGUCUCCUUGCGCACUGCCAAUAACCAUGUUCUCGACACACCUCUUGUUCGCAGCGCGUUCAGUAUGGCAGCCACUGAUGAAAAGAAAGGGAACCAAUGCCUACUAGUUGCAACUAUAGGCUCCAGCACACACCAAACAUUUGGCCCCAUCACAAUCUAAUCCAAAUUAAUCAUACUGCAACACUGCAUGUGCCAAUCCCAUGGCCUUGUUGAUUGCUAACUCUUCUCAAUAACAGCUACACUUCACCGUCUCGAUGUUUCCCCUCUCCUAUAUAUUCAGCAAGCGACCGGCUCAACACCAUCACCUCAUCAGCUCAUCAACCAAGGGAGCAUUUGAGCAUCCAUAGCACACUUCUUCAGAUUUCCAG
rnacentral:lncRNA from 1 species